rnacentral:rRNA from 1 species
UAACACGUGGGGAACCUGCCCCAUAGUCUGGGAUACCACUUGGAAACAGGUGCUAAUACCGGAUAAGAAAGCGGAUCGCAUGAUCAGCUUUUAAAAGGCGGCGUAAGCUGUCGCUAUGGGAUGGCCCCGCGGUGCAUUAGCUAGUUGGUAAGGUAAAGGCUUACCAAGGCGAUGAUGCAUAGCCGAGUUGAGAGACUGAUCGGCCACAUUGGGACUGAGACACGGCCCAAACUCCUACGGGAGGCAGCAGAA